rnacentral:lncRNA from 1 species
CCAUAGCUGGCACAUAGUGCCAUGAAUUCCACGAAUAUUUAUUGAACCUGGAAGUGAUCAUGACCAUCGAUGUUUCUUUGUUGGAAUACCAUCACCACGAAUGUGUGGGCAACUUGUUCUUUUCAUCAUGGUCUCUUCAGGGCACCUUAGGCUAGGGGGAAAGGACUGUGGUCAAGGUUGCCAGGCGACCAGCCACUGAACUGGGAGCUCUUCAUGCCCACCUCCUCAGCUCCCACCCACACGAGGGAUAUGCCUUGCGUCUUCCCACUCCUCCCCAGCCUCGCUGCCCCAACGGGAUUCCAGAGAAAAGGAGGUACUCUCCAGCCUGACUCAGGCAAACAGAGUGCUGGUUUCUGACACGCAGGCCCUGAGGCAAGUCUUGCUGUGGGAAGAUAAACAGGUUUUUAUUACCUCCACCUUAGGACAAAGCCUCAACCUCUGGCUGCUGUAAGAGGCUCAUUCCCAGGAAGAAAAAUGACCUCCAGCUGCAGUAGGUGCAUGCGACACCUCCCUGGCUGGACUGUGAGCUCCUUGAAGCUUUGUUACCUGUGGUGGGGAAGAGUAAGAGAGAAUUCCGUCCAAUGUCAUGAUCUCAACGAGGAAGCAGUACAGAGAUCAAGCCCUGGAAAUCUUUCAAUCCAGCAUUUCAGCAAGAAACAAACCACAGGGCAACGGUGUAAGAGGAUGCUGACCGCCAGGCUUUGACUGAGAACUAAUGGGGGACAGGACCUCUCACUCCGGCCUGGACCUCUUCCAGCCUCGGUUUGCUUUGAGUGUUGGUGGCCUCUGCAAAGAUUUUCAACCCCACCAUUCACAUCUCUGAAUCUCCCACAGCAUCAAGCAGAGCAGCAGGACGAAGUACACACUCGUAAAUAAUUGAAAACAAUCCCUAUAAAGUUUGAACUCAUUCAUUGAACACUGCCUAGGAUUAUUAGUAUAUUCCAAAAUUACAAGCUCCUGGAGUUAGAAGGGACCAUGGGAGUCAUUAGUUCAUCCCCCACCCCAGCACCCCCCCCCCCCCCAGCAGGUGCUACAGGGUUUCUGACAGACGGACAUCUAGCCUAGACUCUUUGAUCAUCUCCAGGACCAUGACUGCCUAAGGAAGCCCAGCCCCGUCAUAGUUGAGGUCUCUGGUUAUGAGAAAAUCCUUUCUACUAUUUGCCAGAAAUCUCCCCUCCCCACUGCUGCAUCCCAUACACCUCCACACAAUGACCACAAAACUGUUAGUAGGGCUUAUUUCCUGGGAGAGUGUAAGUUCCCUGAGGCACUAACUCAGUGCCCCCAGUGAAGUGCCCAGGGAAAAUUGGCUUGCAGAUUGGUUUGCUGAUUGAUGGUGGUAGCAAAUUCCCUCUAGAACACCAGAUGAGUAAGACAGGAGGAAAGGAAGCCAAGCCCCACACCUCUGCCCACACUCGUCCCAACUCCAUGUAGCCAGGUCUCUACUCCUUCGAAUCUUCCUCCACCAAUGAGAUAGCAGCUUAAAACCAAAAGAAACAUGAAAGGAUCCUAGCUCUUGAGCCCCCCUUCCUGACCCUCACCGGGGGCCAUCAGAGUGCUGUUGAUAACACUUUCCCACUAGAAGGACACACUUAACAGACAGGGCAAGGAUAAGCUUCCCCAGAAUGAGCAAAUGAAAACCCACUCCCUCUGGCCCCUGCUCAGUGUUCAGGACUCUGUUAACUAAUCCAGAAAAUGGGAACACAAACAGCAGGUUAACUUUGGACUAUGUUUCAGACAAGCUCUUCCAAAGCACAAAUCCAUUUUUUUUUUUUCAUUCUGACGCUUUCCCAGAACAAGAUGGCACAUGUACAGCCAGAAACCUGGUUGGCAGUUUUGUAGGCAUUUGGAUAUUAAGUGAAUGGGGAUACAAAGACACACUAUGCAAAUAAUAGUCACAGGACAAACCUCUUUCAGUCUAUAACUAAGCACCUUGCCUGUGUUCCUGGGGCCUAAGAUUUGGGCCACGCUCAGAAAAAGAGUGGAGGAAAUGGAGAGUAAUACUGAUGAGUAUUUCUUUCCUAAGAGACAACUGAGUUUUAAUGAUAAAAAGGACCAAGUAGGGAUAGUAAUAAUGGUUGAGAUGAGGUAGUGUUAAGUGGCAGAUCUUUACAAACUAUAAAGCCCUAUAUAAAUAUGAAGUAUUAUAGACUAGAAGAGCAAAUUCACACCUACGAGUUCCUCCUGAAGUGUUAGAUACAUAUUCCUUACCUGCGGCAUAGUUUUACCCUGGGAAAUACAUUUUUUAUGAAAAUACAUUAAAAAAAAAAUAAAAGCUGACUUUGUUGGACA